UGGGGAAUAUUGGACAAUGGGCGAAAGCCUGAUCCAGCCAUGCCGCGUGUGUGAAGAUGGUCCUCGGAUCGUAAAGCACUUUAAGUUGGGAGGAAGGGCAGUAAGCGAAUACCUUGCUGUUUUGACGUUACCGACAGAAUAAGCACCGGCUAACCCUGUGCCAGCAGCCGCGGUAAUACAGAGGGUGCAAGCGUUAAUCGGAAUUACUGGGCGUAAAGCGCGCGUAGGUGGUUCGUAAAGUUGAAUGUGAAAGCCCCGGGCUCAACCUGGGAACUGCAUCAAAAACUGGCGAGCUAGAGUAGGGCAGAGGGUGGUGGAAUUUCCUGUGUAGCGGUGAAAUGCGUAGAUAUAGGAAGGAACACCAGAGGCGAAGGCGAGCACCUAGGAUCAUACUGACACUGAGAUACGAAAGAGUGAGGAGCAAACAGG
rnacentral:rRNA from 1 species